rnacentral:lncRNA from 1 species
CCCAAAAUAGCUAAUACACACACACACACACACAUACUUGCAUCUGUCUUUCAUUCUAAAUUUUAGUACUUUUGACACUUCUUACAGGACUAAUACCAUACUUAUGUAUUCUUCCUCAGUUACUUGCGUCCAUCUUCUAUGUUUUGUCUUUUUUAAAAAUAUAAGUUGAUUAAGGAAUUCCUUAUAUCGUCAAUAUCAUUCUUUUCAGUUGACUUCCCCUCUUCCUUAUCAAAAUUAUUUUUCUUUUGAAUUCCACUCUUUUAUUGAAGCUUUUUAUUUUUAAAACAUACGCAAGGAUAAUUUUUCACCACUGACCCUUGCAAAACUUUGUGUUCCAAUUUCACUCUUCCUUCCCUCUACCCCCUCCCCAGAUGCCAAGUAAUCCAAUAUAUGUUAAACAUGAUAAAAUAUAUUUAAAUCCAAUAUAGGCAUAUGUAUUUAUACAAUUAUCUUGCUGCAUAAGAAAAGUCAGAUCAAAAAGGAAAAAAAAAUGAGAAAAAAUAAAAUUCAAGCAAACAACAACAAAAGAAGUGAAAAUGUUAUGUUGUGAUCCACACUCAGUUCCUACAGUCCUGUCUCUGGGUGUAGAUGGCUCUCUUCACCACAAGAUCACUGGAACUGGCCUCAAUCAUCUCAUUGUUGGAAAGAGCCCCAUCCAUCAGAAUUGAUCAUUGUAUAAUCUUGUUGUUGCCAUGCACAAUGAUCUGGUUCUGCUCAUUUCACUUAGCAUUAGUUUCUGUUAGUCUCUCCAGGCCUCUCUGAAAUCAUCCUGUUGAUAGUUUCUUAUAGAACAAUAAUAUUCUAUAACAUUCAGAUAUCAUAACUUAUUCAUCCAUUCUCCAACUGAUGGCCAUUGAAUUUCAUUCUUGAGAGCUUCUGCUAUUUUCUGAGGCUAACUUUCCAGAUCAACAUUAUCUUCAUCAACUGUUCACUUUCUGCAUGCUCCUCUUUCUUCCAAAGCCUCUGCCUUCUUUGGUUGGCAGAAGUGAUGAAAAUAACUUCAUUGCUCCCAAGGUUUUUAAAUUUUCUUGACCAAAACAUUGUAAUCUUAUUAAUACAUCCAGGCUUUCAGCAUCUCUUAUGAAUUACCACAAGUAGGCAGCACCC